CCUACGGGUGGCAGCAGUGAGGAAUAUUGGUCAAUGGACGCAAGUCUGAACCAGCCAUGCCGCGUGCAGGAAGACGGCUCUAUGAGUUGUAAACUGCUUUUGUACGAGGAUAAACGCAGAUACGCGUAUCUGUCUGAAAGUAUCGUACGAAUAAGCAUCGGCUAACUCCGUGCCAGCAGCCGCGGUAAUACGGAGGAUUCAAGCGUUAUCCGGAUUUAUUGGGUUUAAAGGGUGCGUAGGCGGUCGGAUAAGUUAGAGGUGAAAUCCCGAGGCUCAACUUCGGAAUUGCCUCUGAUACUGGUAGGCUAGAGAGUAGUUGCGGUAGGCGGAAUGUAUGGUGUAGCGGUGAAAUGCUUAGAGAUCAUACAGAACACCGAUUGCGAAGGCAGCUUACCAAGCUACUUCUGACGUUGAGGCACGAAAGCGUGGGGAGCAAACAGGAUUAGAUACCCUAGUAGUC
rnacentral:rRNA from 1 species